rnacentral:snRNA from 1 species
GUGCCCACUCUGGCAGCACAUAUACUAAAACUGAAAUACAGAGACAAUUAGAGUGGUCCCUGCACAAGGAAGAGACACACAAAUUCAAAAAGCAACAAGCCAGC